rnacentral:lncRNA from 1 species
CAAAUGAUGGAGCUGGAAUUUGAACCCAGCCAGGUGACCUUUACACAGGAGGCAGACUCACUAAGUAGGAGGAAAGCAAAAGCAAGAUGUAAGGCUGUCUCUCACCUUCCCAAGACCCAGACAGAGGGAAGGAGGAUCCCACAUCCAGAGGUGAAUUCCUGCCCCAGUAAUUAUCAGGAGGAGGACCAGGCAUACCCAGCUGGAUCCAGAUGAAGCCCAGCAGCCUCACAGAUGAAGUUUCACCUGGGUCAAUGGGAUAAAUAAAAUAAAUGGGUGGAAUCCCAUUUUAGAGCCGUAAGAGCAGGGAUCCCGCCUGGAGAUUCCAGAUGUCUGGAAGCCUAUCCACUCACCCCAGCUUGGUCACAGUAUAGCCUUGUGCCUUGGGGCAGACAUCUCCUUGAGGACCUCCUUUCCUUCAUUUGCAAAAGUAAGCACUGAGUUAGAUGCUCCCAUAUGUCCCCACUGUUUUAUGGUUCUACUUCUCUGUAACUCAAAUUUCCUCAUAUGUAAGAUCGCAUGAUAAUCUUCAUAGACUGUGAAGAUGAAAUGAUUUAAAUAGGCAAAGUAUCUAGAACAGUGUUGGGGACAAAGUAAGCAUUCAGAAUCUUUUAGUUAUCAUCCUAAUCAUCCCAAAUUAUCAUUAUCAUUACAGGACAAGAGUUGCCAAACAGAUGCUGGUCAAAAAGUGCUAGACAUGUCCUUCCUUUGAAAUAUAGUCUGAGAAAGGGAUCAAAAUCACCAAAUGAGGCUGACUUCCCCCCCCCCCGACACACCCUGAGUUUUAAUUGCAUAAUCCUAAGUAAAGAAAGUCUGUAGGGGCUGGCAGUGUAGUCCAGUGAUAAGAGUGCCUGUUUAGAAAGCAUAAGGCUCUGGGUUUAAUCCCAGCACCCGAAGGAAGGAAGAAAGGAAGGGAGGGAGGGAGGGAAGGAGGAAGGGAAUGCUAAGAGUAGUAUACG